GGGUCGAUGCCCGAGCGGUUAA
rnacentral:siRNA from 1 species